AAAAAAUAAUUUAAGAAACACUAGCUGAGCGCAGUGGUGUGCGCCUGUUGUCCCAGCUACUCAGGAGGCUGAGGUUGGAGGGUUACUUGAGCCCAGGAGGUUGAGGCUGCAAUGAGCCAAGAUUGCACCACUGCAUUCUAGCCUGGGUAACAAAGAGAGACACUAUAAGUAAGUCUAUGGCAUUUUCUGAUGGCAGCCUGGGCCUACUAAUACAGAAGACAUACUGAAGUUUAUCUGAAGUUGCAAAGGCAAGCUGGAAUGCUGUGAUACUGGAGCACAGUAAAUGAGGACAGAAUUGAAGGACUUGGGGUCAGAGAUAUAAAGUGGAAGGAUGAAAGAAAGUGCUUAAUCACCAGCUCUUUGUCAUUGGAACUGAGAAGCUGC
rnacentral:lncRNA from 1 species